rnacentral:rRNA from 1 species
GAUGAACGCUGGCGGCGUGCCUAAUACAUGCAAGUCGAGCGAACAGAUGAGGAGCUUGCUCCUCUGACGUUAGCGGCGGACGGGUGAGUAACACGUGGAUAACCUACCUAUAAGACUGGGAUAACUUCGGGAAACCGGAGCUAGUACCGGAUAAUAUAUUGAACCGCAUGGUUCAAUAGUGAAAGACGGUUUUGCUGUCACUUAUAGAUGGAUCCGCGCCGCAUUAGCUAGUUGGUAAGGUAACGGCUUACCAAGGCAACGAUGCGUAGCCGACCUGAGAGGGUGAUCGGCCACACUGGAACUGAGACACGGUCCAGACUCCUACGGGAGGCAGCAGUAGGGAAUCUUCCGCAAUGGGCGAAAGCCUGACGGAGCAACGCCGCGUGAGUGAUGAAGGUCUUCGGAUCGUAAAACUCUGUUAUUAGGGAAGAACAAAUGUGUAAGUAACUAUGCACGUCUUGACGGUACCUAAUCAGAAAGCCACGGCUAGCUACGUG